rnacentral:rRNA from 1 species
GACGAACGCUGGCGGCGUGCUUAACACAUGCAAGUCGAACGGAAAGGCCCUGCUUUUGUGGGGUGCUCGAGUGGCGAACGGGUGAGUAACACGUGAGCAGCCUGCUCUUGACUUUGGGAUAACUUCAGGAAACUGGGGCUACUACCGGAUAGCAGCUCCUGCUGCAUGGUGGGGGUUGGAAAGUUUCGGCGGUUGGGGAUGGACUCGCGGCUUAUCAGCUUGUUGGUGGGGUAGUGGCUUACCAAGGCUUUGACGGGUAGCCGGCCUGAGAGGGUGACCGGCCACAUUGGGACUGAGAUACGGCCCAGACUCCUACGGGAGGCAGCAGUGGGGAAUAUUGCACAAUGGGCGGAAGCCGGAUGCAGCAACGCCGCGUGCGGGAUGACGGCCUUCGGGUUGUAAACCGCUUUCGCCUGUGACGAAGCGUGAGUGACGGUAAUGGGUAAAGAAGCACCGGCUAACUACGUG